UUUUUUUUUUUUUUUGGGGCCGGGGUCAAACUUUCCUACCACACGUACGUAAAUGCAUGGAAAAUUUGCAUGGAAUCGAAAACUUGCACGUACACUGGAAGUCACCAUAGCUGUUGAAUGACAUAUUUUUGGAACUUUAAAAGAAACGAAACCUUUUAAACGGAUUGCCAUUUUGAACGGUUUUAGCAGCAGCACUAACAAGAGACGAGACUCUAGAAUAUCUAAUUAUGAUAGCUAAAAGCGCUUGAUUACAAAAACUCCUUGUAGUCUCCGAUUAAGUAAAUUUUCGUUGAGAUUUUGAAAAUGCUUUUCCCAACUUGGUUUAUAGCUGAACGGUCGAUAAUUCAAAGUAAAACUUGUUUCUCCUCUGGCUGGUUUUGUUUGGAAAGUAAUUUUUCAAAAAAACAAUUACUACAUUUUCCGUGAACAUAUUUUUUUUAAUCACCUUUUUAUCUCACACAUAUCAAAUCGCUACAGUAAUAUUUUUACAAAAAAAAAUUCAAAAAUUGCAAUCCAAACAAACACCCUUUUUUUUUUUUUGAAAAAAAAAGGACGAAACAGCCACUAAUGCAUGUAUUUAAAAAAAGUUCAAAUUUCUGAUUCUGUAGCAGGGCAGGGCGGAAAUUUGGGGCUAACAUGUGUUAGUAAUUAAGUGGAAUGAUGUGACUUAUGUGAAGUUCACUUUAAGACAACCCUAAUCCCCGGGCGCAACAUCCAUUAUCAAAUACUAGACUACUACUACUAGUAGUGUAUUUAUCGACAUCACGCAUCUCCCAAAUCAUGUUAUCCCGAUGUGAUGUUUUCACUAUCUUCGUUUUGUAUUUAUUUAUUUAUUUUUGGCAAGAUCGUUAUCUUCUUUAUGAUAUCGGUUUACAAUAGACUAACAUAUGUUAGUCUUUGUGCAUUGCAAUUUUAUGUUCUUCCUUGAUAGAUCUAUCUUGCUCUGAACAAAAAAUUAAUAGAAGAAUGGUUUAUCGGAAGUUACUUCUGGAUUUGUAAGCUAAUGAAUGUUUGCGAAAUUGAUUAAUUGCUAAAUUCGUAAAAUUAACUCCAGACACUGCAAUGCUAAUCCUGUUCAAGAAAGUGCUUUAGACUUUAUCCCAAAAAUAAAGGGGAAGUGCUAUUAGGGGGUGUGCAUCCCAAUUCGUACAUUUUGAAACGGAAAACCGAUUUUCAUUCCAUUUUCUGAUUUGUCGAUUUCAAAAUUUUGAUUUUAAUUUGAAUUCGAUUGAUAAAUUGAAAAUUUUCGAUUUUGCACCACGCUCCUAAUCAUGAUUUGCAGACAUCCUGUUCCUUCUAAUCACGAUGUGACUUGUGUUCCCAUUUUGUGACUUAACGGGAAGUGCUACGGUCCAGACUUGUAAAAUCGAAACGGUCGUCUUCCUCUGGCAGACGCAAGUCGCAACUUGCAAGAAUAGGUCCAACCUUCGACGGUCCAGUUCUCCAAGUCCAAGAACAGCUCCGGUCGUCUUCCUCCAGUCACAAGAAGUAACAAUUUCUGUCAUUGGAAACUCUACAUUUAUUCUUGUUAAUCAAUUAUUUGUUCCAAGUGUAUACGGGAAAAUAAAGGGUUUAUGGGUUGGAAAAUUUUAUGAAAUGGGUGCGCCUUCAAUAAUAAAAUUUUCAAAAAGAUGAUGCAAAUUUUGCUCCACUCGAGCUUGAGCCUACCUUUUGCUUGGUCGAGCUGAGUUCGAUUCCAUUUUCUUUACUCGUCAAGAUUAAGUUCGAAUUCAAUCCUACACAUAAACAAGUCAAACUAGGAUCGAUAAGACUUGUUUGCGGUCCUACUUUCAAGAAAUUGGCGCAGCCGGUUUGCUGUCUUAGUUUUGUACUUUGUUUAGUCACUUUUGAGUUUCGACUUAAUGUUUCAUCGAGUUACCCACCCUACAAUCGUGCUUUGUCGGGCAACUGGGAAAGCCUGCGCUCUGUCGUUCGUCUAAAUUUCUUCAGUCUUAACUUGUCAUGAAGUUUUUUUCUUAAUUGAUAUUAUACCAAAUUUAAGCCCAACAUAGAAUUCAACUUGUGCUAAUAGUUUUGGGAGUUUUUUGUGCUACAAUUCUGCGAUGCAUUUAAAAUGUCGAGCCUCUCCCAAGAAAUUGAUGUUGUAGCAAUCCACCAGACAAAUUGUAUGUGGUGCGUAAUGAAUUUUGGAACGGAGAUAUAUUGAGAAAGAUGUGAAGAGAGAUAAGGUGGAGAUGCUUGUGAGAGAGCUCGUGGAUGGAGAGAGGGGACAAAAAAGAUGAGGAGUAAGGCUUUGGAUAUACUAUAUUAGAACUAUACAUUAUACAAUGCCAAAGCAGCUGUGGCACGCACUCCAUUGAUCUUCUUCCCAGAACUUUAACAAGCUUUUGAAGGAGAUGACUCUGCAUAAUUCAUCCCGAUGAUGAGGAGGCAAAGGUGGAAAUUCUUUAAUUUUGUUACAAAGUUUCGAGGAAACUGGGGUUUAUUAUAAUUGUUUACACCGGAAUAAAUACAGUAGUUAACUACCAGAAAAACUCCAUUGGUACCUCGAAUUUAGAACGAGUGUAACAGCUUCAUAGCACGAAUGUAGUGUAGAUAAAUCCGCAUUCCUUUUUUUCAAUAAAGAAAACAAUCCAGUGCAAGACAAUAAAGAUAUAUAUGUGGUAAGAAUCUUUCAGGACAAGAUUUUUGCUCGAAGGCCAAGUAAUGUACAGCUCAAAAUCCUUGUGGCCUACGUACAACUCUUUAACUUGUGACUGCAUAAUUCAGUUCUCACUUUUCAAAUGAUGCCCUUUUCUAAUUUAGCUUUUGAUAGUAUAACUUCCUUCACAAGUCUAUUAAAAUUCAAGUAUGAUGAACCAUCAAGGCCAGUUGCUUCUUCUGCCUUCAGCUUCCAGUCCGUAGCUUUUCUCUCCAUCUCUCUUCCUUUAUCUCCUUCGAUCAAUUCUCUCACGAUUUUUUCCACUUCAUUUCUUUUCACAUUUGUAUCAAUCUCCAUCCCGAUGCCCCAUUCUUGACAUGCAUACCUACAAUUGAUAAGUUGAUCAGCAAAAAAUGGCCAACAAAUCACGGGCACACCACAGCACAAGCUUUCCAAAAUUGAGUUCCAUCCACUAUGUGCAAGAAUCCUCCGGUUGAGGAAUGUUUGAGCACUUGCUCUUGAGCGCACCACCCUGUAAUCAUACCUCUUUCUUUAGUUUCUUCAACAAAUUCAGGUGACAAAAUUGCAGAAUCGCCCACAACAAGGUCGGGUCUUAAUAUCCACAGGAAACUUUUGUUACUGUUAGCUAGUCCCCAAGCAAACUCCACCAGUUGUUCUGGCGUCAGCGCAGCUAUGCUGCCAAAGUUUACAUAGAGCACUGAAUUUGCUUCCUUUGUGUUCAACCAUUGAAUGCACUCUGCGUCUUCUUUCCAUAAGUUGGAUCCAAUAGAUUGAUGACUAUCUUGUGGAAGCUGAUUGAACAAAAGCUGAAGAGGGCCAAUGGCGUAUAUUGGAGGACACAUGCUCGAAAGAGAAUUUAGAACAUCGAACUCAAGGGAGUCAAAUGUAUUGAUCAUCAAUGCCGAUGCUUGGGAAGCUCUCGCAGAUUCAGUUAUGGCGAAGUUUAGCAUUAUGUUGUCUGGAUCUGUUGUUCGAAUAAAGCUGGGGAAGUCUCUUAGACGUAUCUCAGGCAUUCCUGGAAGCCAAUCCAUUUUGGUGUCUAAAUAUCCGUUUGUCAGAUAAAUUGCAUCUGUUGUUACAAAAAGGUCGCACAAGUAUUGGCAUCAUUCAUCUGAGCGAUCACUUCCAAGAAAUGUAAUUAAGCGCACAACUAUUCUGCUCCAAGCAUCUCAAGGGAAAAUGCUCUAUAGCACUAAAAUUUGAUGCAUUUGAAGUACCCUUUGAAAGUUAAAAAGAGUACCUCUUAAGUCUGGAUACAGUACCUUUACUUUAUAUGACAAUAGCAAAGCACCAACCGUAUUUAGGACUUUCCAGUAGUCAUGCAGUAGAACCACAUUGCAUUAUAAUGUUUUAGAUUCCCCAUUUUAACUGACAUCUAUUAAAUUGGAAAAGAACUCGUAUCCAAAGUUUUAUGAUAUCCGUCUGUUGCUUGUCUCAUGAUAAUGACAUGUGAUUAAAUCUUGAAAUUAAUUGUUGUCAAAUUUAAUCUCUGUCAAAGGAAACAGUUGAUUAAUGAAAACACAAAGACCACUGUUUUUUUUUUUUUUUAAAUAAACAAGUACCAAGAAACAGCUAAAAUUUUCUCAUUUAUCAGCAAUCUUAGACACCUCAAAGAAUCUACAAUCUAGUUAUGCGAGUAAAUCAAAUUGAACCAUUAAAAUACCUUUAAGAGGCACGAGUCCCCUUUUCACGAGAUGUUCAACAUGUUUAUAGCACAUCAAGCUGCAGGCAUUAGCAGUCCGAAAAAGAACACCAGGGACCCCAAUUUCCUCAGCAGCUUCAAGAGCAAAGGACAUGAUUGCGUCAGAAAUUAUACAUGUUACAGGAGGAACAUUCAAAGAUUCUGGUGCAUCAUUGAGUCUCUUUAUUAGUUCCCGAAGAGGGCCAAAGCAAUGGUUUCGAGUCGAAUCACAUAGUGAUGGAAUGUCUUGUGUUGCAUUAUUAUCAUCAGUUGAAGUUGAGAGGCCAUCUGGGAUAGCUUUGAACUGAAAAUCUGAAAAGCCAUCAAGAGACUUGGGACCUCUGGCUUUGAGCAAACGCCUGUGAUUGUAUUCUGUGUUGACAAAAGUGAUGUGAAAGCCUCUGUGGUAAAGAAGUAUGGCUAGUUUCAGCAAAGGACUUAUGUGACCCUGCGCUGGAAAUGGUAAGCAUACUGCAUGUGGCUUUUGAAAGUCAUGAAUAUUUAUUAAAGAAUCCAUCUCUUAUUUGUUCCUUCUUUUGCACUUCUUUAGCUCCACAGAUUUAUAGAACAUCAUGCACAGACCAAGUCUCUGAAGGAGAAAUCUCUGUGUUAUUUCAUUUUAUCCCCUUAGAGUAAGCAAAAAUCUCAAUUGCCCAUUUGGAUUUCUAUUUUCUAGAGUUUUUGUAGAAAAAUAUAUUAUAGUGAUUUGAUGUAUGUGAUGUAAAAAAGGUGAUUGAAAAAUGUGUUCACGAAAAAAUAUAAAAAUUUUUUAGGAAAAAAUGCCAAUACAAAAGGAAUCCAAAUUUUUUUUUAGUCAUAGAAAAUGGUUCUAUGAUAUUUUUAUAACAUUGUGCAAAUAUAUAUUGACAUGUACCGAUAGUUAUUAUAAUUUUCAUUAUACCUUUGGGCAUGGGUAGUAUAAUUGUAGUUUUCAUAUGACAAAUGCCCUUAAAAAAAGAUAUAUGCAUCAAAUUUUGAUUUUAAAUUCAUUGCGCUUGGUGACCGCUAACACGUUGGACUUUGAAUUAUUUAAAAAAAACACAGACAAAAGAAACCUUCCAUGUCCACACCCAAAAGCAAAAUAAAAUUCUAACAAAAAGAAAAAAAAAAAAGAAGAAGAAGAAGAAGAAUCAGACCAUGAGACUCCUCCAUCUAUUCUUCAGUCCUUCAGUACAUACAAGGACAAGUGACAACUGACAACCAUUGUAUGUCAUUGGCAGGAUUUGAAUUAUUGACGACAAGUGUGGGCCUUUGAAUUAUUGAAGUUUCCGUGGUCCGAUGAUUGAACUUACUCGCGGAACGUCAAAAAUUACUCAGUGAUGGUGCACGAGGUUGUCACGAGCUGUUGGAUUGUCGAUAGGACUUGAGCAGUAGGAGCGUCAAUACGGUCGGGCAGCUUGAGCUUGGUCCGCUCGACUCGAUAAAAAGUCUAAUGAACUUAACCUUUCAUUGAAUUGGGUUUAAGUAUAAAAUUCGAUUUAUAUAUGAGUUUAGUUUAGAUUUUAUUAGACUCAAAUUCAAUAUAAGUCCUAACAGUUAAUCUGUAUCUAUAUGCAUACAUACAUACAUAUAUAUAAUACAUUUAUACUUUGGUAUUUAUAAUUAUGUAUCCAAAUAACUACAUUGCAGCACUGUUGUCACAGAUGGGGCUUUUGAUGCUCAGUUGGUGAGUGGUGGUAUGGAUUUUGUGGUUUUAAAUUCUCCUGGUCGGGUAAUGCACAAAAUCUCCAAGAAGCUAUUUGUAAUUUGCAGAAUCUGCAGUUCAAGCGGAAGCAUUAGCUUGUCUGGAAGAGCAUUAGUGUCGGCAAUGAGGCUUUAGUCCUGUUUGAUCACCAAUUUAACACUUAAAUUUAAUAGGUUUAGAUCUUAACAUAUUUAGACUGUUUGAUAAUCAAAAAUUGAACAUUUGAAUUAAUUAACUGACACUGAAUUUUCUAAACAAAACUUGCUCCUAAAAUUAAGUAAGCUAUUCACUUAUCACUGAAUGUGAUAUACACUCAAAUGUAUUAGAUUUACUAUUUAACAAUUCAAUAAUUUAAUGGAUUCAAAUUUCAUAUUUCAGAUUUUAGAUUUCAAUUUUAUCAAACGGACCUUUAUUGUACCUCUCUACCAGUCAAAACUGAUUGUAUGUUAUUGUUUAUCCUAUCUUUGCACGUUAUCUGGCUCACCCCAAUGUUAGGAAUGUCAUUAAUGAUGUUAUAACUAUGUCGUCUUUCUAUUCUAAGUUGUAUUAGGUAGGGCUGCAAACGAACCGAACCGAACCGCUCGCGAGUGGCUCGAGUCAAGCUCGACUCGAGUUGGAUCAAUAUCGAGCUCGAGCUGGCUCAAGUCGAAAUUGAGCUCGAACUCGAGCUCAAAAUAUUAAGCUCGGCUCGGGCAUAUAUAUAUAUUUUUUUAUUUUUAUUUUUAAAGUAUAUAUACAUAUUUUUUUAUUUUAAGCAUAUAUUUUUUUUAUAUUUUUAUUUUAAUAGUAAAAUUACAUAUAUAUCCUUAAUAUUUUAUUAUUUAUUAAGAAAAAAUUAUUAUUUUAUUUAUUUUUUAAAAAAUAAAAUAAUUAUUUUUAUUUUUUUCGAGCUUGAGCUCGAGUUUUAAAUUGUCAGCUCGUCGAGCUCGAGCUCGAGUUCGAGUUCAAUAAAAUUAAGUCAAGAUUCGACUCGAUUAGGCCAAAACUCAACUCGGUUCGACUCGUUUGCAGCCCUAGUAUUAGAUAAAGUUGGCAAGGAUCAAGUCCUUCUUGCCCAUGAGUUAGCGGUCGCUAUAAUGUUACUGCUACCUCUCAUUAAUAUUAAUUUUCUGUUUGUGUUUUUCACAAAAAAGUUUUAAUGUUGUAGUUCUAUGGAUAUUAAAUUAGCUUGGGAACUGAAUAACUAAAGUAAUUAUAUUAAGAAAAUUAAUGAACAAUAAGUGAGUUUUAGUUAAACCCAAAUUUGGCUCAUAACCCAAAUAUUUUGUGAUUCAAGUAUUAGUUUCACGUUUAUCAACUUGAAACUUAUAAUCCGAGAUCCGCAAAUGAUACUAACUAUAUGAGUCGAGUUUGGACUUGUUAAAACCCGACUUACAUGGCCUAAUUGACAGUGUAGCACGAGGUAUCAUGUUCAAUUUUUUUAAGUUUUCUUUUUCAUUCUACAUUCAUCCCCUGUCCUUCAUGCCUUAAAUUAUGGUAAGAGGUCAUACAACUUUCUUUUAAAAAUGAAGUGGGAAAGAAAAAUUUUAAGCUCUCUGUAUCUCUCUCUCUCAAGGUUGAUUUCAAAUCUUUUAAAGGAAAAUAAAAAAAUCGGAGGCCAACCAGUCAAAUCAAAGAUCUUACUAUCACUUAACAAUUUUUUUUUUUUAAAGAUGAGAAUUAAGCACCCUUAUGUGUUUACUGGAUUCGGAAUCAUCAUAUUCACAGACUUCUUUUCAUUUUUAUUAUCUAUUAAAUUUCAAAGAGUUAUUGCAAAUAUACCAUUUUUUUUUUUGUUUUUAACUGGUGAUCAUAGACGAUUACAACUGAGUUCUACAAGCACAUCCCAUAACAUAAAAUGAAACAGCUACUAUAUCGAGAGAGAGAGAGAGAGAGAGAGAAGUUAAGCAUCAAAGAUGCAAAAUUGGAAUCAGCCCAAAUUUACUUGAUCAGGGCAGAAGUCGAUCCCACAAGAUAAGUUGAAGCUCAAGCCAUGAGAAUAGGAAACGUGCAUGCAUUAUCUUGGUUGCUGCAUACUUGCAAGUAACCUUUAUCUAAAAUCUGGAUAAUUAGGUACAGGCCAACAUGCAUGCAUUUUCUUGAUUACUGCAUAUUUGCAAGUUACCUUUAACUAAAAUCUGGAAAUUAGGCAUUGUUGGGUUGGAGUGAUGAAAUGAGCUAAGGCUUUUGGGCACGAGAUUCCCCUCUUAGGUGAUUUACCAGCAAUUUGAAGUUGUUGUAAGAUGUCCCACCAGGCUUUGUAGCCCUAUCUGCUUUAUCCUUCCAUUCCAUGAUCUUUUCCUUCAUUUCCUUUCCUUUGCUUCCCUCCAUUAACUCCCUUACUAGCCCUUCUACUUCUUCAUCUCUUUUAACAUUAUUAUCAAUCUCCAUUCCAAUUUCCCAUUUGGUACAAAUGUAAAGACAAUUUGUUGGUUGUUCACCAAAAAAAGGCCAACAAACCAUUGGCACGCCUUCACAAAUGCUUUCCAAUGUUGAAUUCCACCCACAGUGUGUCAAGAAUCCUCCAAUCGAAGGAUGGCCGAGAAUUUUCUCUUGUGGGCACCAAUCAAGCAGCAGUCCUCUGUCCUUGAUUUCAUCCAAGAAAUCAUGAGAUAUGACCUGUGUCCCACCAUUUACAAGAUUAGGCCUAAUCACCCACAAGAAUGGAUGUUUACUAUUGGCUAAUCCCCAACCAAACUCCCUCAACUGACCUGGAGUCAAAAUUACCAAACUCCCAUAGUUCACAUACACAACUGAUCCAGGUUUCUUCUUGUCAAGCCAAUCUAUGCAUCCCAUGUCCUGUUUCCACAAGAUGGAAUCGAGGGAAUCCAAAUUCCCUCCGCGGAGUUGUUGUUCAAGCAUUGAUAGGGUCCAAUCGUGUACAAAGUUGGAAACUUUAUUCUUAUAGCAUCUAAAACUUCUUUUUCCAAAUCUUCAAAUGAGUUGAGAAUUAAGCUGCUUGUCCUCAGAGCAUUUUGUAGUGACUUUAGGUUGUAAUUGAACAUUAUGUCUCCAGGAUUCGUGGAUUGGACGAACGAGGGAAGGUCUUUUAGUCGAAUCCCUUUCAUUGCCGGUAUCCAAUCAAGCUCAGUAUCAAGAUAUCCAUUAGAAAAGCAGCUUUCAUCUGGAAAAGAGGUUGUUUGCAUCAUGUAGAUACUCUUAUAAAUUAUUAUCAGAAUAGUCACAGAAAAAAAGACCCAAAUAUGCAUCAUGAUACCUGUCAGGGGAAAGUAGCCUCUUUCUCUGAGCUCUUCGUACUGAAGAUAGCCUAACAUCCCGCAAGCACUGGGCGUAAAGAACAGGAUUUCGGGGAUUCGGAAUUCUCGAGCUACUUCCAAAGUGAAGCUCAUGACACCAUCAGAAACUAUGCAAGAAACAGGUGGAACAUCAGGGGAAGAGUUCAGUUCCGAUAUGAGUUGCUUGAAUGAUUGUUUGCAGUGCACAGGCAUGGCUACGCACAGGUCAGGAAGAUCCAAUAUACCUCGCUGGUUGGACGCUGGCAAGCCAUCAGCAACGGUCCGGAAUUGAAAAUCGUCAUGUAUUAUGUCUAGUGGAUCUGAAUCCUUGGACUUGAGCAAUCUGUUAUAGUUGAAUUCUGUGUGGACGAAAGUGAUGUGAAAUCCGGUAUAAUGAAGAAGCUUGGCAAGUUUUAGCAUGGGAUUAAUGUGGCCUUGGGCUGGGAGUGGGAUACAAACUACAUGAGGUUUCCUGCUGGACUCCAUUCCGAUUUCUCGAUUGGGUUACUUGUAACUGUUAAAGAGUGGAAAAGAUAAGACACCGCUGUGAAGAUGCAAGGCGGAGGGUGGAGCUUUGGGCUUGAAGAUGCACUCCAGAACAUGGUUCAAAGACUCGGGCCGAGUCGUCACCAGAACGAAGCUCUCCAAUAUGAUACCGAAACAAAAUGACUCUAAGAUAAUGGAUCACCGAGAACUCAACUAAGACAGCUUCGAAGCAGAUAGAAACUGCCGAAUCGUCCGAAUCAUCCCUAGUCGAUUUGAACUUUUAUUAUUUUUGCUAAUUUUUUUUAAUUAUUUUUGUUUAUCAUAUUUUUUAUAUAAUUCAUAAUUUUUAAAAUAUUAAAUAUUUUAAAAUUUACGUCUUGUCGAAACCACAAUCAAUAUACCGAAAUCGAUGUCAAACGAUCCACGAAUGGGACCGCAACUUUGAACCGUGCUCCAAAAUAAUCAAAUCAGACCCGUGACUAAUAAUUCUUGUCUUUUUUUUUGGUCUGCUGACUCUGCUCCCAAAUUGCCUCUCCCCUUAAACCAAUAUAAUGACUGGUGGUAAUUAAUUUCAAACGUUGAACUUUUGUCUUUAAUUGGCUGGGGUACCACUUCUACAUUUGACUUCAUCUGAAGAUAAGGCAGUGGCGUGAAGCGUGAACCUAGGCAGAGUCUUUUGGAAUUGAGAAGACGCAUCUUAAGAACAGAGAAAUGAAGUCUAAAAAAUAGGCAAUAAUUUUGGUCAGUCUUCCGUUUUAAUGUCGUAGGAGUGGCAUUUUGCCCAAAAUGGUCCUUUAACUAUUAAAGAGUCUGUCACCUAAAUAUUGUCCAUUUGAAUUAGCUGUUUUUUAAGGUAUUUUUGAAAAAUUUUACCGUAACAGUGUAUAUGAAAAAUUUUAUAAAAAUUUUGAUAUAUUGUAUGAAUGAGAUGUUUUUUGAGUUAUUGUAUAUUAUCAAUUCAAACAGAUGCUGGCGCAGCAGCCAUACCCGCCCUCAUAUAUAUUUAUAUUUUUUGUUCUUUUUUCCGUUCUUUGGGAUGCGAAACGCCACCUUCGUUGAGCUUGGAUUGUUAUCUAUUUUGGUGAUAUAAUCUCCAAAAUAGAUAAGUACAAACUAUUUAUUGGACAAUUACGUUCUCUCUCUCUCCACAAGUGUUAGUAGGAUAAAAUCAAGCAAAAAGGGAGGGAAAAAAACUCUCAAGGAAAAAAAAAAAAAAGAGGAGAUCAGGGACGUAGGUGUUGAACCUUGGCACGAGGUGGCGGAGAUGCUCCCGGUAUUGCCACAUUGCAUUGGCUCCAAAGCCAUGCAGCAGCAGAAGAUUAGGUUUCGAUGGUUCGGCCGUUUUUGGCACCCAACAAUGCAUGACGGUACCAUCCCCAAAAUCUGUUGUGACAGAUUUGAGGCCAGCGUAGGCGAAAAAGUACCUAUGAAGCCAAUCUGCUGAUGCUGUGAAGCUAAUGCCUCCUGCCAUUUAUGUCAAACCUCAGAGGUUUUAAGCUCUUCCAAGAGUGGUCGAAACUUAAAAAAGUUUAUUUUUCUUUUGGGUAUUCUUCUCCUAGAAAUUUUGUAGAUUUCCUCUGUCAAGACAAACAAAGAAAUUGUAGCUAAGAGAACGAGAGAAUGGCUAUAAUUUAGCUCGUGGAACACCUCCGAUCCUCGGCCCCACGACGGAUUAUUAGUCUGUCGACGCCGUUAAAAUCACGUGCGUUUUCAACUUCUAUAUUUCCCAAAUCCCCUAAAACUCCAAUCCAACUUUAUAUUUUCCAAUUCUCCUAAAAAUCCAAUCGGGCUUUGGCUUGUAUUCCUCGUUAAGAAAAGCAAAAACAGAUAUUUGAUGUAAUUAAUUAUUAGAAAUAACUAAAUUAGCAUACUGUGUCUUUUCCAAUUCCAUAGAGCGAAUAGAAGGAGAAAACCCCCUCUUUUUUUUUUAAUCUUCAAUAUUUGUUUAUGAAGACUAGGUUUAAAUCUUGUUUACGGCUUGGAUGGCAGUUGUAGUUGUGUCCAAAUUUUGGAGUUUAUUGCUAAAAUAACUCUUCUUCUAAAAUAUAUAUCCAAAGUAACCUAAUUUUAAAAAUUAUUACCUUUAUAAUUCUCUUUUUGCCACAAAGGUUGCAUAUGUGGCAGGAUGGAAAUAGAGACAUAUUCUAUCUUUCUUUUUUAUCUGAUAUCCCCCCGGAUUCUCUCUCUGAACUUUUUCCUUUAGUUAUUUUUUUCUUGUCAAAAGUAAUUUUGAGAAGCCAAUAUUUAUAUUAACAGAAUCUAAAACUUCACUAUCAUUCCUGAUAUUGUAUUCGUGGAUGAAAAUAUUCUUCUUGAAUUGAUGAUCUUAAGGUAAAUGAAGAUUAUUCUCUUGUCUUUUCUAUUGUAUAGUUUUUGGAACAUUCCUAUAGCCUUCAAAAAAAUUUUGAAUACUAAUUGUGUAACAAAUGAUUUCCCAUACCAUGUGUUUGUUAAAAUGUCCAAGAGGAAAACUACAUAACAACAUAGAUUCAUACUCAAUAUGUUUGAUUUCCACCAUAUACACGAGCAUGUUCAUUUGUAGUGCUUCUCUAUCACAUGAUCAAAUAAUCUCAUAUACUUAAUGUAUUUUUGCACAUUUAUUCAACAUCAAUCAAUGGUUUGUGCUACUUCUGAGCAACUUGAGCAUUAUCUUAAUUGCAUUAGUAGAUUUCUUUUGCAUUACAUGAAAUUUAUUAGUCUCAAUUUCGAUUUAAUCUACUAGUGGUUCUUGUAUCUAAUGGUAUUCUAAAUAACAUGUAAAUGAUAACCUUGCUAAUUAUUGACAAACACUGGUAGUUCUUGUCUUAGAUAGCAUGACAAUAUUUGCUUAAUUAAUGAUUUUUUUAAUUUUGUGUAGGUGGUGCUGCUGAAUUUUGUAGCAAUGGCUGGUAAAAAUGUUACUAUAUUUUUUUAUUGUAAUGGUAGGAUGACAACAGGCAUACAUGGUCUUAGUUACGAGGGUGUUACUCCAAAAGCCAUUCGAGUAAGUUAUCAGAUAAAAUACCAUGAAAUCAUGGACAAGAUAUAUGUUAUCAAUGGCUAUGAAAAACAUCAAGUUGCGAUAAAAAACUUCUAACUUGUGAUACCUCUUUGUUUUCCUCAUUCCCUAUAUGUGAUUUGCAAUGAUCAAAUAGAACUUACCCAUUUUGGAGAUAGGAUUAGUGAAGUGCUCGAAUUUAGCAUUAUUGAAGUGCCUGAACAUAGAAUGAGUGGAUUGCGUAAUGACAUUUUUGUAUUCAUUUCCCCUUUGCUAACACUUAAGGAAGUUUCAAGAGUGUGGGUUCAAAUAUUUCAAAAUUGCUUGCAAUUGGCAAUGAUUAUGAGACACAUUUAUUGAUUGCAAAUUUAUUGUAAUUAUAUUAUGAAAGUUUAUUUACUUCAGAAUAUCUUGUUUUUUUAGUUCGUUGCAUAAGAUAUGGAUGUGGAGAACUUUAUUACAUUAUUAAAAUUUAAUUAAAAAAUCUUAUUUUUGUCUUUUUUUCCCUUAUAACAUGACUUUUUCCAGUAGUAGGAUGCCAUUUGCCUUUUAUAAUACUUGAUUACUUAUAUAAUAAUCAAAUUGAAAACUUGAAAAUUUCAAUUUGAUAACUUUUUGUAAAAGUUCUUUUCAAGAAGUAGGAAGCAUAACAUAAACAAAUAUGAUAACCUUGAAGUUUUUGUAACUUUUUCUUGUUAUUACUUACGAUUUUCAUUGCAAUUUUUGUAUUUUGCAAAUUUAUUUUUGAAAAAUAUAUGAAAUAAGUUGAUACAUUUUUUUAAAAGUGUAGAGACCACUAAUAGUAAGGUCAAAUAACGGUAGAAUUUAUUUUAAAUAAUUAUAAGGAAAUUAUCAAAGUUACGCAAUUUUCUUGUGCCUUUAUAAUAAAAAAGUUUAAAUUUUUAGUUCAUGUUGGAAACUAUAGACUAGAUUAAAGUUUUCCUUUCUUGUUAUGCUACAUGGAAAUCAGGGUAAUUAGGUGACAACAAUAACAUCAUUAUGGGAAUAAAAUUUGAAAGUGAAUCACAUUGAGAAUAUUUUUUAGAAAGAGUGUUAUUUUGGCAAAAACUCCCAAAUUUUGCAGGAAAGAUAGAAUUUGUAUUGAAUCACAAUUGCAAUUCAUGAUUUAACACGUUGACCAAACUAAUUAUUUUUAUUUGAAGUUUGGAGAAUUGUUAAUUUUAUUUAGAGUAUGGUCCAAAAUUUCCUUUUCUACCUUGUAUAUAAAAAGAAAGAGAAGUUACUGUAGGCUGUAGCAACCUCUUUUUUUUGCCAAGUGUAUAGUCUCUUAUUUUGACAAGUGUCAAUUUCUAUUUGUAGUUGAAUUUUUACUCCACUAUUUUUUUUGGUUAAUCAAAAGUCAUAAAUAUCUCUCCUCCCAAUUCUUUUUUUUUCCUCUUUCUGCCUCUGCUUUUAACUUUCAUUUCCCUCUUUUUUCGUCAUUUUUCUUUUUUCCCCCUUCAAAUUUUUUCUUUAUAAUUAAUUAUACUAAGAUUAUUUUCUUACUAUUUUUUUAGAUGAUUAUUGUUGACCAUGGAGAGGUGUCGCAACAAUCAACUAAUUUAUACUAUCAGUUCCUAUUCCAUCAAUUUUAACUCUUUAAUCCAGUAUUUUGGCUUUUCUUUUCUUUUUUUUUCUUCAUCCUAAUUUUUCUCUGCCAUUUCUCGUUCCGCUCAAUCAAUGCAUUUUUUUCCUUUUUGCUCUAUAAUUAAUUGAAUGUAUAUUUUUCUUGUAGGGGAAUGGAUAUUUCUUUUAUUGCAUUGUUCAAAAAUCAUGAUUCAUGAAUCAUAAUCAUCUUUUUUUUAGGAGAAACCUAGACAAUAGACCUUUUACCUCCACUACUCCUACUGUUUGGUAUAUUCCAUUUUCUUUUUAUUCCUAUUCUUCCCUCAUUUCAUGCUGCCAAAUAUGGACUUAACCUUUUUUUUAUUAACUGUAUUAUUAACUUUUUUUAUUAACUGUAUUUUAUUUAGCCUUUAUCAUUUUUCUUUUUUUUUUUUGCCUCUUUAUUCUGUGACCUUGGUGUAUUUAUUUAUUUUGGCUUGAUCUACUUGAUAUUCAUUAAGCCUUCCAUUAUUUUGGUUCUGCAAAUCGAUUUUCCUUUUGUACGGGUUGUCUUAAAUCUAAAUGCAAAAUUUAUUUUUUGCAAUUUUGAUGUUUUAGUUCCUUUUUAAUGCAUAAUUGAAUCUUACACUUCCUUUACUAAUUCUUUGGUACUGAAUUUUUGUACCCUUUUUAUGCAUUGAAAAGCCUUCCAUUUAACUUUCUUGCAAGUUUUAUUGUGAAUUUAUAGGACACAAGUUUUUACAUGAUUGUGUCUUGUUUGAAAAAGAAAUAGUGGUGAAAUUUUAUACAUUUGUAAUUAUAAUAGCAUGACACUUGAGUUUUAUGAAGCAUAUAUCAUUUAUGUUAAUAUUGAAUUGGUUUUGCAUUUCUCCUGUGUUUGGUUUUUGAAUUCUUUGUUGUUGUUUGUCCAUACAAUACCCUAUUGCAUCACAAUAAGCAAGUUGGAGCAAACUUUUGGAACAUUCCACUAAAGCUAAGCUUUUUUAGGCUCAUUUUUUGACAAUUAUAAUUUCUAUUUAUUUGAAAGCAAAUUAUAGUGUAAUGAAUUUUAGCCAUAAUUUUAUAGAUGGGCCUACACUGUGCUUGCACAGUCUGGUUCCUUGAGUGUCAGAAUAUGUGUUGCUACGUGCAAGCAACGUGCAAGCAUUAGAGUGAUGGGGCCUAGCAGAGGCUUAGUGAUUGGAGCAGGAGAUGACCAUUAAAAUCGGACCCUCAAAUAUGUGUUGUACAUUAAAAGUGGUACAAAAUGCGGACCCUCAAAUGUGUGUUGCACAAUAAUAGUAGCACAAAAUGACGGAGAUUGGAGAGGACAUUGAGAAUUGUUAAGAGUAAGUUGAUUCUUGAAGAGAGCUAAAUAUAUGCAUGGAAUAUUUGAAGUCACAAACAGAAUAUUAUCAUCGUCAUAUUAUGCAAGGUGUAUUAUUACUACAACAUAUUAGGAACCCAGAUUUUUUUCCCCAACGAUAUUGCAAAGAAAAGGACAUUGAGAAUUGUUAAGAGUAAGUUGAUUCUUGAAGAGAGCUAAAUAUAUGCAUGGAAUAUUUGAAGUCACAAACAGAAUAUUAUCAUCGUCAUAUUAUGCAAGGUGUAUUAUUACUACAACAUAUUGGGAACCCAGAUUUUUUCCCCAACGAUAUUGCAAAGAAAAGGACCCUCAAAUAUGUGUUGCACAAUAACAGUAGUACAAAAUGGUGGGAUUGGAGCAGGCUCGCCGUGUUUGAUUAUUUGGCAAGGGCAUUUCUUGAGAACCACAUCCCGUGGCAUGCUAGGGAUUCAGGGAAGGAGAGAAAAGAAAACAAAAAUUUUUUUAACCCAAAAAGAAAAAAGAAAGAAAACGAAAGAAGCGAAAAUAAGCAUCUCCGGUACCUAAAUAAAUUGCCCAGGUAAGAGAGAAGGUGAAAAUCUUUUCAGAUGAUCUUCUCCUUUUUAAGAUUAGGACUCACCCCUCCAAACUUUUAUAUAUAUAUAUAUAUAUAUAUAUAUAUAUUCAGAGUAAGAAAUUGAUAUGUGCCCAAGAAAAUAGAAGUAAACGAGUAUCUAUGAUUCAGGCCUUGUUCUCGUUGGUUUUAGAUUUUAUAAAUUUUGAUUAUGAAAAGUGAUUAAUAAUCAGAAUCUGCAAUAACGAUGGAUUAUAAAUUUUAGCCUUUUAAGUUUUGAAAAAUCUAUAAUUUGAAUACAAAAGUAAGUGAAAACAUCAUAAAAAUUGAUUCUCAAAAAUCAAAAUCUAUAAUCAGUUUAAAUAAUGAAUUGAGAACAAACCUUUAAGCUCGAGACUGCAGUAAUUUAUGGAGACAGUGGCCACAAUAAAGCUCAAGGUUCCUUUAAUAUCUCGUGUUUUCGGAUGGUUAGAACUACAAACAGUUGGAUUUCUUUAACUUUGUUAUAGUAAUCGUUUUACUGGAUCGAGAUUUUAAUAUAUACUAGUUGUUUUUCGACAUUAACACCAUCCAUCAAAUAACUGAGAUUCAUUAUAUAUUUUGCUACCGUGUCUAUGUGUUUUUCUUUCUUGGUUAGAUAUGCUAGUCAUGUGUGUGCGUGGGUGUUUUUCCGUCAGUACACACAGCCAAACAUGACCUUUGAAAUCAGGUUAUAAUCUAACAUUCUUAAUGUAGUAUUAAUUAGUAAGUAAUGCCUAAAAUUAGGUGAAACUAACAGGCAUAUGGCUAUGCAUGUGAAUGUGUAGCCUUGCUUAUUAGUCACAUUGCUCCUCUAAGAUAAGCGAUUUGACAAUCUCUGUUCUUUUUUUGGCAAUUUCUGUUUGCUGGUGUGUACUUCAGAUUUAAUGUUCUAAUGAAAGAAAGAAAGACAACCAUAAAUUGGGUUUAUCAUUUUCUUCUAUUUGCUAGUCUUGAACGAGCAUUCAAGCAUAUUUCAAAAGAUUUUCAAACCAACGUAAAAUUGAAUUAAUCUUUUUUUAUAUAUUCAGUGAGUUUUUUUUUUCACAUUAGUAGGUUUGGAUGCAUGACACAUAAUUUUUAUUCAAAUUACAGAUUUUUCUUUUUUAUAUGUAGCAUGCACCCAAUCUUACUUGUGUAAAAGAGUUUCUAUGAAAUAAAAAAGACUAAAUUUAUAAAAUUUGCAAAAAAAAAAAUCAGGAAAAUUGAGAUGUUUGAUGCUGGCGAGGCACUAAAACCAACUUUUAUACCCGGAAAAGCCAACCCCAAAUGGAAAGCAAACGGGGGCAUUAGAAUCCAGUCAUUAAGAUCUGCAAUUGGGGGACAUACAAGACCUUUGAGCAUUUCCAUACUUGUGGUUGGGAAAAACUCUCAUGUUGUUUGUAUUAAAUUCAAAACUUGAGAUUGAAAUCCUAAAGAUGUAAGAGCGGAUCUUUUUGCUUUUCAUAUUCUGAACGAGUUGCAAAUAUGAAGCAACUUGUGAGGCCGUGAUCCGUACAUGCGCGUCUCUACAAUUCUAGUACUCAUUGAUUUAGACUUUUUGUUUGGAUUCAUGAUAUUCCAUUCCACGUUCAAAAAGUAAAGUGUUAUAAACCAAUACUUAAGAAGAACACUCCUCUUUACUUAUUAUUAUGUUUUAAACUUGAAGAGCACAUUUUUUUAUUUGGUUUUUUGUGGCAUGAAUAAUUGAUGAUCCAAUUAGUCAAGUUGCAAAGAGGGGUGGUGAGAAAUGAAAGUCUAAACGUCUAACGGGUGCUCAUUUCAUGUGUCAUAUUUUUAGAAAGGUAAGAUUAAUUAGAGAAAAUAAAUAAAUACAAUAGAGGGUAGGUAUGAUUAAAUAGGAAAAAUAUGUAAAUACAAAGGAGGACAAUAAUUGUUACUCUGAGCAUAUCCACGAUAAGGAAGGGUAAUAAUUAUUAGGUGAUUAAGUUCCACAUACUCCGUAUAGUUCACAACAAUCUUCACUGCAUUGGAUUUGUGAAAGACGAGGCAGUUGUUGAUUAGCUGCUCCAAAAGCGUCGAUGCCUGUAGUAAUUAAUCAAGGAAUGGGAGGAGGAGGAGGAGCAGGGGGCGGAAUCAGAAGAAUCAACAAGAAAUGUUUUGAGAUGUUUGUUAAAUUCCUUAGGCUUCUCCAAGUUGACGCCAUGUCCUGCAUGUUUAAUCACCUCAAUUCGAGCAUUUUCCCCAAUAUGCCUGCAUGCUCAUGGACAUGAUAUUUUUUCCUCAAUUCCCAAGUCACAUAACACAGAAUUAAUUUGUAAUUGUACAUAAAGGUUACUCCUCGAUCUCAUUAGACGGAAACAAACAGCUAGUUGAAAGGUUACCUUUUCAUUCUGUGACCCAAUUCCACGGGGAAGAUUUGAUCCUGCUCCCCCCAUAUGAUCAAUGUGGGCUGUUUCAAAUAUGAUACCAUUUUGAAUCAAGAAAGAAAUUAGUCCAUCCAUCUAGAAAGCGCGGGUGUCAGAUGGAUUCAGUCAUGAUAGCAAAAAAUUCCAACCUAUAGCACCAUUAUAUUUUAGGAAGACUCAAUCAAACCUGUGUGAUUCUGGGAAUCUUUGAGAGCUGUCGAUCUUUGAGUAUAUUUUUUAUGAGUUCCCUCUUCUCUUUUACGUGGUCUGUGCACAUUACCUGCCCAUGCAACAAACAAUAUCAUCGCCAAAUUGAAAAUUGAAGUGUUUAAAUGCUGCAAUGAAAUAAUUAAGCGGCAUGCAUCUAAACGAGCAUGACAAAUUUCAACCGGUUAUCGUAUUUUUGGAAGGGUAUAUAUAUAUAUUCCUAUCACUCAUUUUAACCUUUCAAUGUGCAUCCGGGCUUCAACUAGCUAUUUGUUUCCAUCUAAGAUCGAGGAAUAACCUUUAUGUACUACUACAAAUUAAUUCUGUGAAUAUGACAUGGGCAGAAUGUUGUGUACGUAGUAAUUAAGGUCAUGUAAAGAUGUUCCCCUUUUCUUCUUGGUUUGUUAAACAAGUAUAGUGCUUGGCUAGUUGUCCGGUCCCGGUGGGAAUGCAACACUGGUUUCUUGUCACAAGGGCUCAUUUAUUCUUUAGUUGCCGGUGGUAGUCGCAGAGUUAGGAAUUAGAGUCUCAAUGCCGUGCGCAUAAAUUUCCAAAUCCUUCGGCCCACUGGCCACCAGAUCGAGAACCUGAUAGGCAUUUUGGACAAAAUUAUGAUGGAACGAUUUCCAGAGUUUUUCUUUUCUUCUCUUUUUUAUUGGAGCAAGGGAAAUGCAUAAACCUUUGACAUGCACAGAGAGAAAGAACGAGGCUACGCUUACGUCAAUAAAAUCUGUAAGGAAGCACGAGGGGACUCUUUUGACAGGCUUGGCGAAUGAAAGAUUCAUCAGUUCCCUAAGUUUAUCCGGGGUCUGGGGCACCAAAACGUUAGCAGCCUCGUCUAAAUCCGGAACCGGGAACAGACCCUCCUCCAUAUCCUUCUCCUCCGAGCAAACACCAGUGCAACAUAGCACCAAUUUCUCUAUUGCCUCGGGAAACUGCACCGCCAUGCUGUACCCUACAAACCCACCAUAACUUAUGCCCACCAAGUUCAUCUUUUGUACCCCGUGCACCUCCAUCAGUUUCAUGACGCAUUGUGCCUGGAAUGCCUCCGUUCUCUCGGGACUCUUGGUCGAGGAUUCGCCAAAAAAGAGGAGAUCAGGGACGUAGAUGUUGAACCUUGGCACGAGGUGGCGGAGAUGCUCCCGGUAUUGCCACAUUGCAUUGGCUCCAAAGCCAUGCAGCAGCAGAAGAUUAGGUUUCGAUGGUUUGACCGUUUUUGGCACCCAACAAUGCAUGAUGGUCCCAUCCCCAAAAUCUGUCGUGACAGAUUUGAGGCCAGUGUAGGCGAAAAAGGACCUAUAAAACCAAUCUGUCGAUGCUGUGAAGCUAAUGCCUCCUGCCAUCUAUGUCAAAACACAAAGGUUUCAGGCUCUUCCAAAAAUGUUUUUGGGUGUCUCCUAGAAUUUUUGUGGAAUUCCUCUAUCAAGACAAACAAAGAAAUUGUAGCUUAAGUGGAUGAGAAUGGCUAUAAUUUAGCACGUGAAACACUUCGGAUCCUCGGCCUCACAACCAAGUCUCACGACUGGUUACUACUCUGCCACGCCGUUAUAAUCACGUGCGUUUUCAACUUCUAUAUUUCCCAAUCCCCCUAAAAGUCCAAUCCAGCUUUAUAUUCCCGAUUCUCCUAAAAGUCCAAUCCGGCAUUGGCUCGUAUUCCUCAAUUCAGAAAAGUCAAAACCGAUACUUGAUGUAAUUAAUUAUUAGAAAUAUGUAAAUUAACGUAAUGUGCCUUUUCCAAUUCCACAGAACCAAUAGAAGGAGAAAAUCCUCUCUCUCUCUCUCUCUCUCUCUCUCUCUCUCUCUCUCUCUCUCUCUCUCUCUCUCUCUCUCUCUCUCUCUCUUUUAAAUCUCCAAUAUUUGUUUAUGAAACAGUUGUAAUUGUGUCCAAAUUUUGCAGAAAAGAUAGAUUUUGUAUUGAAUCACAAUUGCAAUUCUUGAUUUAACACAUUGACCAAACUAAUUAUUUUUAGGAAAAAUGGUUCAAAAGGUUCUUUACAUUUUGCAGAAUGAUUUUUUUCAUCCAUCACUUUUAUAAGUGUAAUUUUACGUCACUUACAAAUUCAUAUUGAUCAAAUUUAGUCCCUACCUAGAGUUUCGACAAACUUUUGAUCGGAAUCCUCUAUGCGUUUUGCAUCGAUUAAUGUUACCAUUCUGACGUCCCUUGUUUUCCUUGAUAUCAUUGAUUAAUUGUUCAUUAUUGUUUACUAGUUGAAUGGAUGCCCCACGUUUGCCAUUCUAAUGUCCCUUGUUUUCCUUGAUAUCAUGGAUUAACUGUUCAUUAUUGUUUACUAGUUGAAUGGAGGCCUCACGUGUGACGUGAGGGUGGGCAGGUUUUAGAAACAAUGAAUAUAUUAAUAAGGGCAUUGGCUAAUGUUAUAUUCAGCAUUAGGGGAAGUGUUGGUGCAUCGCGCAGGUGUUUGAUGCCUGUGGUUAGAAAGAAUUUUUCAUUGGAUAAAUAAUAGUACAUUCUGAAAAAAAAAAAAUAGUCAUCAAAUAUGACAAAACUAAUAAUAGUACAUUCUAAUUGCAAUACGCACUUGUACACUUUGGUUUGUCAAUACUUUUACAAUUUACCAUUUCCAAAAAAUCCCUAUAGAUGUCAGUUGAAAAUCACCCAAGAACAAACAUAAGUUGUUUCAAACAAAGAAAUAUACUCCAACUGUUAAUGGCUAUGUAUGAAUUGCACAACAGUUUAAUAUGCCUUUGUGUUAAUUCCACAAUAAAUGCCACAUUUCAAUUAAAUGUGUCUAUAACACCAUUUCAAUAAUUAUACCAACACAUAAACUUAUAUGAGUUGUACUCGAUGCAAAAGCGGUUGCAAAAUAAUUCCAUAUUUCAUAAAUAUCCAAAUGUCUCCAUGAAUCAAAGUUUUAAAUGUACCAAAAUGAGAACAUUUUGAUAAAUACACCUAAACACAUGCUUCUCUCAAUUGUAUCAAAAGUUUUUUAAAAAAAACUACACAACAUUUCACAUUUUCAAAAAACUCCUAUUCAUGCAGAUGAAACUCAAACUCCCUUUGAUCACAACUGAUUCUUAUAUGGUAUAAGGAUAUUAAUGCUAAAAUUAGGGGUAGGUGAAGUAUUUUGUUAUGUAUUAUUAUACGUAUUGUAACAAAUGCAAUAUAUUAUUAUGUGAAGAAACCAAUAGAGCACAAUGAAUUGAAUAAUGCCAAAUUUGAUUUUAACUUUGAAAAAUUAGGCCUUUCAUAAAAUAUAUAUCUUCCUACACACGAGAAAGCGAUUAAUGAAGCAUUAAAGUCAAAUAAGGUAUUCUUUAGACUAAGGAGUUAAUCCAAUCAUGUCUAGACUGACGAGUUAAUCAUGGCGCUUAAUCCAUUUCCAAUGAUAGAAUAGAUCUUCCUACACCUAAGAAAGGUUUAACGAUGGAUUGAAGUCAAAUAAGGCAUACUUGAGAUCCAGGAAUCCAAUCAUGUCUAUUAUUCUGAUCAUAGCAUCUAUGACAUGAAUGCAGCAACUACUACUACAUUGAAGGGGAAAAUGAACCUCCCUUUCUUCCCAUACAAACUCCAGUAAUUACGAUGUUCCGUAAGUGUAAUUUUCAUUUUUCCAUUCAGUUAAAAAAAAAAAAGACAAACAAAAAUCAAUUUCGUUUUCAAGCCUAUGAAAUGCUCAAUUUGAUAACGGGCAAAGAGAGAAGCACCAUUAUUCAAGAUACAGUCCUAGGCGGAGAACGUAUUGACAAUAUUUUACAAACAUAGAAAAAUUCUUAUCCAUUUAUAUAGAAAAAAAAAGUCCCCAGAAUCAAACCCAAUUAAGAAUGCAAAACUAAUUCUACUUCAAACAGAACAUUAACCCAAAAAAGAAAAAUCAAAUCACAUCCCAUAACCAAGUGAAAUACCUCCAAAUAAUUAAGUUUCAAGGAGGAUGUAUCAAGAGACUGUAGAAGAGAUAAAGGAACAAUAAUGCCCACCAAAUCAAAUGAACUGAGUCCCAUCAAUUGAUCCAAGGGGAAAAGCCCUAAAUAUUAAAUCAAAACUUAGGAAAUCAAGUUGCUGGACAAGAGAAGGGGCGCAUAGAAAGAGGGGCUGUGGCUGGGAGAAAAUUUAAUUUGUAUCUUUGAUUUCAAAAUUGCGAUGUUUCUGGGUGAAAGAGAGGACUUGACUAGUAGAAAAAGGAAUACUAGAGUCUUGACAACUGAGGAGGAGGAAGAGGCGGAAGGGUGGAAUUUACAGGAAGCAUUAAUUAAGGAGUUUGGAGAAUUUGAUGAAUUUACAGGAAGCCCGUCUUAGACUCCUCCGUUAGUUCACAAGUCAGGGGUAAAAUAGGCACGAGGGUCAAACGACAAAAUCAAACAGCCAUAAGUGCCACCUCCUGCACAUAUCCACGCAAUCAGCACGUUACCAUUUCGAAUUGAAAUUCCAAGUUAACCCACCUACUGAACGUGUUAAUAGGAGACCAAAACCCUGUUCAUAAAACUUCGUUCACACUUUGAUUAAUUACCGUACGCGUUGACUUCUGGGCAAGAGGUGUCUCCAAGGGUGUCAGAUAAAUAAAAAUCUCAAAGUAGUGCAGCAGCUCUACUUGAGACUAACAGAGACCUCCUAAAAAAGGAGAAAGACAGAUCAGAGGUUUCUUGUGCACCGAUAUUGAGAAAUGACUUUGCAUUUGCACCACGAAGAUCCACUAUACAAAGUAAUCAUAUUCCAUCAACAAAGACAAAAAAUCUCUGUACAACAUUCCUCAUGCCAUCAUCUGGCAACUGCUUAACUUCUAUCGAUUUUGCUGAGAAACAAUUUGCCUACGAAAGUGUCGGAGCCUCACCAGCUAACUCGUCAUCCAACCAUUCCGCUGCGACUCCAUGAUGUAAAACAAUAGUUGCAAA
rnacentral:lncRNA from 1 species